rnacentral:snoRNA from 1 species
AACCCAUGGUGAGGGCACCUUCUUAGUAAGUCCUUGUAUCUCUCUCAUGCAUCAAAAAGUGUUUCUAAAUCCACCUGCAUAAAAUAAGAGAUAUCAUUACGUAAUUU